rfam:TPA: Bos taurus chromosome 6, whole genome shotgun sequence.
UCUCUGGUGGUCCAGUGGUUAGAACUCAGUGCUUUCACUGCUGGGACCCAGGUUCAGCCCCUGGUCAGGGAA